UACGGAGGAUGCGAGCGUUAUCCGGAUUUAUUGGGUUUAAAGGGUGCGUAGGCGGCUUUUAAGUCAGCGGUGAAAUUUUGCAGCUUAACUGUAACAGUGCCGUUGAUACUGGGGAGCUAGGAUUUGGUUGCUGUGGGUGGAAUGUGUGGUGUAGCGGUGAAAUGCUUAGAGAUCACACAGAAUAUCGAUUGCGAAGGCAGUUCACAAAGCCAAGAUUGACGCUGAGGCACGAAAGUGUGGGGAUCAAACAGGAUUAGA
rnacentral:rRNA from 1 species